GACGAACGCUGGCGGCGUGCUUAACACAUGCAAGUCGAACGGAAAGGCCUGCUUUCCCUUGUGGAUUGCGGGUACUCGAGUGGCGAACGGGUGAGUAACACGUGAGUGAUCUGCCCCCAACUUGGGUAUAGGCCUGGGAUACUGGGUCUAAUUCCCGAUAGGACUGCAGGGUGGUGCCUGUGGUGGAAAACGAUUUUCUAGUGGUUGGGGAUGAGCUCGCGGCCUAUCAGCUUGUUGGUGGGGUAAUGGCCUACCAAUGCGGGGACGGGGAGCCGGCCUGAGAGGGUGGACGGCCACAUUGGGACUGGGAUACGGCCCAGACGCCUGCGGGAGGCAGGAGUGGGGAGUAAUGGACAGUGGGCGGAAGCCUGAGGCAGCGACGCCGCGUGGGGGAUGACGGCCUUGGGGUUGUAAACUCCUUGCGACCACGAGGAAGCCACCUGGUUGGAAGGGUGGUGACGGUAGUGGUAGAAGAAGCACCGGCUAACUACGUG
rnacentral:rRNA from 1 species